UACGUAGGGGGCAAGCGUUGUCCGGAAUCAUUGGGCGUAAAGCGCACGUAGGCGGCCCGGUAAGUCCGUUGUGAAAGUCAGAGGCUCAACCUCUGGAGGCCAAUGGAUACUGCCGGGCUAGAGUCCGGAAGAGGCGAGUGGAAUUCCUGGUGUAGCGGUGGAAUGCGCAGAUAUCAGGAGGAACACCUAUUGCGAAGGCAGCUCGCUGGGACGUUACUGACGCUGAGACGCGAAAGCGUGGGGAGCAAACAGG
rnacentral:rRNA from 1 species